UACGGAGGGUGCGAGCGUUAAUCGGAAUUACUGGGCGUAAAGCGCGCGUAGGUGGUUAAUUAAGUCAGAUGUGAAAGCCCAGGGCUCAACCUUGGAACUGCAUUUAAUACUGAUUGACUAGAGUUUUGUAGAGGGUGGUAGAAUUUCAGGUGUAGCGGUGAAAUGCGUAGAGAUCUGAAGGAAUACCAGUGGCGAAGGCGGCCACCUGGACAGAGACUGACACUGAGGCGCGAAGGCGUGGGGAGCAAACGGG
rnacentral:rRNA from 1 species